AAUCAACACUCCACUCAGACAAUGCCCAGACCUCCAGACACCAUGUGUCAAGCUCGGAUUGCCUUAGACAGGUGCAAUUUAAAAACAGCUUUCAUCCUCUUUUCUCUCAUAUUGUCACACUAUGGGUUCCGACUUCUGGCUCCUUUCCUCACAAGAAGCUCACCCAGCUGGAACUCUUAUGGGACCUUGGCACCAGAGACCACAAAUUCCUCUUUGAAAUUUUCUAACAGCAACAAUGGUAUUUCUGACUUGGCUUUCUUGUAUUUCUCUCACGUUAACAAAAUUGGUUGAGCAUCUACCAUGGGCUACAUGCUGAGCUACAGAGUUUCGCUCUGUCGCCCAGGCUGGAGUGCAGCGGCAUGAUCUCAGCUCACUGCAAGCUCCACCUCCCGGGUUCACACCAUUCUCCUGCCUCAGCCUCCCGAGUAGCUGGGACUACAGGCGCCCGCCACCACGCCCAGGAGCCCAACUUGCUGUUUGGUAUCACAUGUGCUAUACGUGCUGUUGAUGAAACUGCUAAAGGAGCUGAAUGUGACUGAUGUCUUUGGAAGGAUGAGACUUAGCGUGCCUGUACAGUUGUGUCCAAGUGCUGUCCUUAUCUCCCAAUGGAAAGGAACAAAACCCAUCAGAAGAUAUCAGAAGAUAGGGAUUUUUGUCCUGAUGCUACACUUACCAGCUGUCCCUCAGUGUUCUACUUCUUAAAAAAACAGAGAUAGAUAAACAGAGGCGACCGGAGGAUAAAGGCCUUGCUCAGUGUCACACAUUUCAGUCACUAAAUAAGACAGAAUGGAUGCCAGUAUUCUCAUCCCCUCACAAAUAAAGAGCCUUCGAGCUCUUGCAGUCAACAAGAACUUUUGGAAUGAUUUCACUGCCUGAAAAGGCAGAUAC